CCUACGGGGGGCUGCAGUGAGGAAUAUUGGUCAAUGGACGAGAGUCUGAACCAGCCAAGUAGCGUGAAGGAUGACUGCCAUAUGGGUUGUAAACUUCUUUUAUAUGGGAAUAAAACAGGGUAUGCAUACCCUCUUGUAUGUACCAUAUGAAUAAGGAUCGGCUAACUCCGUGCCAGCAGCCGCGGUAAUACGGAGGAUCCGAGCGUUAUCCGGAUUUAUUGGGUUUAAAGGGAGCGUAGGUGGAUUGUUAAGUCAGUUGUGAAAGUUUGCGGCUCAACCGUAAAAUUGCAGUUGAAACUGGCAGUCUUGAGUACAGUAGAGGUGGGCGGAAUUCGUGGUGUAGCGGUGACAUGCUUAGAUAUCACGAAGAACUCCGAUUGCGAAGGCAGCUUACUAAACUGCCACUGACAUUGAUGCUCGACAGUGUGGGUAUCAAACCGGAUUAGAUACCCCAGUAGUC
rnacentral:rRNA from 1 species